GAUACGACUCUCGGCAACGGAUAUCUCGGCUCCCGCAUCGAUGAAGAACGUAGCGAACUGCGAUACUUGGUGUGAAC
rnacentral:rRNA from 1 species